UACGAAGGGGGCUAGCGUUGCUCGGAAUCACUGGGCGUAAAGGGUGCGUAGGCGGGUUCUUAAGUCAGAGGUGAAAUCCUGGAGCUCAACUCCAGAACUGCCUUUGAUACUGAGAGUCUUGAGUUCGGGAGAGGUGAGUGGAACUGCGAGUGUAGAGGUGAAAUUCGUAGAUAUUCGCAAGAACACCAGUGGCGAAGGCGGCUCACUGGCCCGAUACUGACGCUGAGGCACGAAAAGCGUGGGGAGCAAACAGG
rnacentral:rRNA from 1 species